UACAUGGGGUGCAAACGUUGCUCGGAAUUAUUGGGCGUAAAGCGCACGUAGGCGGUUCGUUAAGUCGGAUGUGAAAGCCCUCGGCUCAACUGAGGAAGUGCACCCGAAACUGGCGAGCUUGAGUACGAAAGAGGAUCGCGGAAUUCCCGGUGUAGAGGUGAAAUUCGUAGAUAUCGGGAGGAACACCGGUGGCGAAGGCGGCGAUCUGGGUCGAUACUGACGCUGAGGAGCGAAAGCGUGGGGAGCGAACAGG
rnacentral:rRNA from 1 species